CCUACGGGAGGCAGCAGUGGGGAAUCUUGCACAAUGGAGGAAACCCUGAUGCAGCGACGCCGCGUGAGUGAAGAAGUAUUUCGGAACGUAAAGCUCUAUCAGCAGGGAAGAAAAUGACGGUACCUGACUAAGAAACCCCGGCUAACUACGUGCCAGCAGCCGCGGUAAUACGUAGGGGGCAAGCGUUAUCCGGAUUUACUGGGUGUAAAGGGAGCGUAGACGGCAGCGCUAGUCUGGAGGGAAAUCCCAGGGCUUAACCAUGGAACUGCGUUGGAAACUGUGCAGCUAGAGUGCAGGAGAGGUAAGCGGAAUUCCGAGUGUAGCGGUGAAAUGCGUAGAUAUUAGGAGGAACACCAGUGGCGAAGGCGGCUUACUGGACUGUAACUGACGUUGAGGCUCGAAAGCGUGGGGAGCAAACAGGAUUAGAUACCCUGGUAGUC
rnacentral:rRNA from 1 species